AUACGGAGGGUGCAAGCGUUAAUCGGAAUUACUGGGCGUAAAGCGUACGUAGGCGGUUAUUUAAGUCAGAUGUGAAAGUCCCGGGCUUAACUUGGGAACUGCAUUUGAAACUGGGUAACUCGAGUUUAGUAGAGGGGAGUGGAAUUUCAGGUGUAGCGGUGAAAUGCGUAGAGAUCUGAAGGAACACCAGUGGCGAAGGCGACUCCCUGGACUAAAACUGACGCUGAGGUACGAAAGCGUGGGUAGCAAACAGGAUUAGAAACCCCGGUAGUCC
rnacentral:rRNA from 1 species